CCUACGGGUGGCAGCAGUGGGGGAUCUUGCACAAUGGGGGAAACCCUGAUGCAGCGACGCCGCGUGAGUGAAGAAGUAUUUCGGUAUGUAAAGCUCUAUCAGCAGGGAAGAAAAUGACAGUACCUGACUAAGAAGCCCCCGCUAACUACGUGCCAGCAGCCGCGGUCAUACGUAGGGGGCAAGCGUUAUCCGGAUUCACUGGGUGUAAAGGGAGCGUAGACGGCCAGGCAAGCCUGGAGUGAAAGCCCGGGGCCCAACCCCGGGACUGCACUGGGAACUGUCCGGCUGGAGUGCGGGAGGGGCAGGCGGAAUUCCUGGUGUAGCGGUGAAAUGCGUAGAUAUCAGGAGGAACACCGGCGGCGAAGGCGGCCUGCUGGACCGCGACUGACGUUGAGGCUCGAAAGCGUGGGGAGCGAACAGGAUUAGAUACCCUUGUAGUC
rnacentral:rRNA from 1 species